rnacentral:rRNA from 1 species
CUAGCGGCAGGCUUAACACAUGCAAGUCGAGGGGCAGCGAGUAGAUUGCUUGCAAUCUAUGUCGGCGACCGGCGCACGGGUGCGUAACGCGUAUGCAACCUACCCAUUACAGGGGGAUAACACUGAGAAAUCGGUACUAAUACCCCAUAACAUCCAGGGAGGCAUCUUCUUGGGUUGAAAACUCCGGUGGUAAUGGAUGGGCAUGCGUUGUAUUAGUUAGUUGGUGGGGUAACGGCUCACCAAGACAACGAUACAUAGGGGGACUGAGAGGUUAACCCCCCACAUUGGUACUGAGACACGGACCAAACUCCUACGGGAGGCAGCAGUGAGGAAUAUUGGUCAAUGGACGCAAGUCUGAACCAGCCAUGCCGCGUGCAGGAAGACGGCUCUAUGAGUUGUAAACUGCUUUUGUACGAGGGUAAACGCAGAUACGUGUAUCUGUCUGAAAGUAUCGUACGAAUAAGGAUCGGCUAACUCCGUGCCAGCAGCCGCGGUAAUACGGAGGAUUCAAGCGUUAUCCGGAUUUAUUGGGUUUAAAGGGUGCGUAGGCGGUCGGAUAAGUUAGAGGUGAAAUCCCGAGGCUCAACUUCGGAAUUGCCUCUGAUACUGUUCGGCUAGAGAGUAGUUGCGGUAGGCGGAAUGUAUGGUGUAGCGGUGAAAUGCUUAGAGAUCAUACAGAACACCGAUUGCGAAGGCAGCUUACCAAGCUACUUCUGACGUUGAGGCACGAAAGCGUGGGGAGCAAACAGGAUUAGAUACCCUGGUAGUCCACGCAGUAAACGAUGAUAACUCGUUGUCGGCGAUACAAUGUCGGUGACUAAGCGAAAGCGAUAAGUUAUCCACCUGGGGAGUACGUUCGCAAGAAUGAAACUCAAAGGAAUUGACGGGGGCCCGCACAAGCGGAGGAACAUGUGGUUUAAUUCGAUGAUACGCGAGGAACCUUACCCGGGCUUGAAAGUUAGUGACAGAUCUGGAAACAGGUCUUCCCUUCGGGGCACGAAACUAGGUGCUGCAUGGUUGUCGUCAGCUCGUGCCGUGAGGUGUCGGGUUAAGUCCCAUAACGAGCGCAACCCCUACCGUCAGUUGCCAGCAGGUCAAGCUGGGCACUCUGGCGGGACUGCCGGUGUAAGCCGAGAGGAAGGUGGGGAUGACGUCAAAUCAGCACGGCCCUUACGUCCGGGGCUACACACGUGUUACAAUGGCAGGUACAGAGGGCAGCUACCCAGCGAUGGGAUGCGAAUCUCGAAAGCCUGUCUCAGUUCGGAUUGGAGGCUGAAACCCGCCUCCAUGAAGUUGGAUUCGCUAGUAAUCGCGCAUCAGCCAUGGCGCGGUGAAUACGUUCCCGGGCC